CAUCUGUGAUUAUCCUAUUCUGAACCUGAAUUUAUACUAGAAAAAACUUAUAUGAAUCUGGCUUCUGAGAU
rfam:Gorilla gorilla gorilla genomic chromosome, chr4, whole genome shotgun sequence